GACGAACGCUGGCGGCGUGCUUAACACAUGCAAGUCGAGCGGUAAGGCCCUUUCGGGGGUACGACGAGCGGCGAACGGGUGAGUAACACGUGGGUGACCUGCCCUCAGCUCUGGGAUAAGCCUGGGAAACCGGGUCUAAUACUGGAUAUGACUCCAUGACGCAUGUUGGUGGGGUGGAAAGCCUUGUGCGGCUGAGGAUGGGCCCGCGGCCUAUCAGCUUGUUGGUGGGGUGAGGCCUACCAAGGCGACGACGGGUAGCCGGCCUGAGAGGGCGACCGGCCACACUGGGACUGAGACACGGCCCAGACUCCGUACGGGAGGCAGCAGUGGGGAAUCUUGCGCAAUGGGCGAAAGCCUGAUGCAGCGACGCCGCGUGAGGGAUGACGGCCU
rnacentral:rRNA from 1 species